rnacentral:rRNA from 1 species
AUGGGCACGUCUUUUGGAAGCUGCAAGCUGCAGGAUGAGCAAUACCAGUACUACAAGAACUUGGAUGAUGAAAAGAAGUAUUUCUUGGUGCUUAUGUUGGGUGAUUUCCAAGAUGCGAUGAUAAUUCCAGAAGAAGUUGUGCGGCGUUUCAAAGGCGAGAUCCCAGUAGAGAUCAAGCUGGAAACCCGAAAUGGUUACAGUCACACCAUUGUGGUUGCCAAGUACCAAGAAAAGCUUGUCCUUACAGUGGGUUGGCGGCAAUUUGUUGAAAACUAUGAUCUACAAAUGGAUGAUUCCUUAAUAUUCAGAUACAAAGGGAACUCUCAGCUUAGUGUCAUGAUCUUUGAUAAGCUUGGUCGUGAAAAAGCAUUAUCGGUUGUUCCGGCUCCUUUUUUGCCUCAGGUCCAAGACAGGCGCAAUGAGGCACAUGAAAUCAGGUAUUCUCAAAAGAUGGAUGUGCCUCGGGAAAGAAGAAAAAAGCGGACUGAAUAUCACUACGCAAACUUGGAUGAUGAGAAGAAAUAUUUCUUGGUGCUUAUGAUGGAUGAUUUUCAAGAUGAUAUGGUAAAUUCAUAUUCAAAUACAAUCGUCCCAAAAGAAUUUGUUCAGCAUUUCAAGGGCGAAUUCCCAGGAGAGAUGAUACUUGAAACACAAAAUCGUCGCAGUUGCAAAAUUGGAGUUGCCAAGAACAAUGGAAAGCUUGUCUUCACAGUGGGAUGGGGGAAAUUCGUUGAAACCUUUGGUCUAAAGAUGGAUGACACCAUAUUAUUCAGAUACAAUGGGAACUCUCAGUUUAAUGACAUAAUCUUUGAUGAAGAUGGCUGUGAGAAGGCAUCAUCAGUUUUUUUGGAUCCUUCUCCGCCUCCUGUGCAAGAAAGGCACAGAAGUGCUACUGAUACUGUGAAAAGUUCUCAUGUUCAUACUCAGGCAAUUCAAUCAGAGUCAUUUAGCAUAGUGGAAGGGAUGCCGAUGGGGUCACCAUGCUUCAAAAUGGAAAUGGACAAGUCAUGUCAAGACAACAACACCGUGAUAAGUAUUUCCUCCUGCGAGUCAUCAGGUCUCAGAGAAUCUUCCUCUGAAGAAGAAUAUGUAGUACAUAAAGUGCCUCGUUCCGAUUAUGUCAGGAAGAGGAAGGCCGGGCAGUUGAAGUAUGCCAAUGGAGUGACCACACUAUCUUCAUUUAAGCAGGGGCAGUUGAAGGACCAUUACAUUACCGCCCACAAGACCAAACUAACUUCAACUCAGAAGGAAGUGGUGAAGCAGAAGGUCCAAUCCAUAUACACAGAGAUCCCCAUCUUUGUUGCUGUGAUGCGCAAGUACAAUGUUGUUGUAGAAUUCUUGCUGACUUUCCCCAGAUACUAUGCUAAGAAAUAUCUUGGAGAGGAGCCACACAUGUAUCUUCAGCGGAUGGGCCGGAAGUGGGAUGUGUGGUUUAGUGAAAACAAUGACUGUAAAAAUCUCAGGAGGGGAUGGAGACAGUUUGUAGAAGACCACAAGCUGAAGAUUGGUGAUAUCUGCCUCUUUAAACUGUUGAGCAUUCAGAGUAGAACCAUGGAGGUCUACAUCAUCCGUGCAAACGAU